GACGAACGCUGGCGGCGUGCUUAACACAUGCAAGUCGAACGGUAAGGCCCCAGCUUGCUGGGGUACACGAGUGGCGAACGGGUGAGUAACACGUGGGUGACCUGCCCCGCACUUCGGGAUAAGCCUGGGAAACUGGGUCUAAUACCGGAUAGGACCGCACCGUGAGGGUGUGGUGGAAAGUUUUUCGGUGUGGGAUGGGCCCGCGGCCUAUCAGCUUGUUGGUGGGGUAAUGGCUUACCAAGGCGGCGACGGGUAGCCGGCCUGAGAGGGUGGACGGCCACAUUGGGACUGAGACACGGCCCAGACUCCUACGGGAGGCAGCAGUGGGGAAUAUUGCACAAUGGGCGGAAGCCUGAUGCAGCGACGCCGCGUGGGGGAUGACGGCCUUCGGGUUGUAAACUCCUUUCACCAUCGACGAAGGUUUUCUGACGGUAGAUGGAGAAGAAGCACCGGCUAACUACGU
rnacentral:rRNA from 1 species